rnacentral:tRNA from 1 species
GCGUCGGUCGUAUAGUGGUUAGUAUCUCAGCCUUCCAAGCCGAGGACGAGGGUUCGAAUCCCUCCUGACGCA